rnacentral:rRNA from 1 species
AGCGAACGCUGGCGGCAGGCCUAACACAUGCAAGUCGAACGAACCCUUCGGGGUUAGUGGCGGACGGGUGAGUAACACGUGGGAACGUGCCUUUAGGUUCGGAAUAACUCAGGGAAACUUGUGCUAAUACCGAAUGUGCCCUUCGGUGGACAGAUUUAUCGCCUUUAGAGCGGCCCGUGUCUGAUUAGCUUGUUGGUGAGGUAAUGGCUCACCAAGGCUACGAUCAGUAGCUGGUCUGAGAGGAUGACCAGCCACAUUGGGACUGACACACGGCCCAAACCCCUACGGGAGGCAGCAGUGGGGAAUCUUGCGCAAUGGGCGAAAGCCUGACGCAGCCAUGCCGCGUGGAUGAUGAAGGUCUUAGGAGUGUAAAAUCCUUUCACCGGUGAAGAUAAUGACUGUAGCCGGAGAAGAAGCCCCGGCUAACUUCGUGCCAGCCGCCGCCGUAAUAC